AAAUUGAAGAGUUUGAUCAUGGCUCAGAUUGAACGCUGGCGGCAGGCCUAACACAUGCAAGUCGAACGGUAACAGGAAUCAGCUUGCUGUUUCGCUGACGAGUGGCGGACGGGUGAGUAAUGUCUGGGAAACUGCCUGAUGGAGGGGGAUAACUACUGGAAACGGUAGCUAAUACCGCAUAAUGUCGCAAGACCAAAGAGGGGGACCUUCGGGCCUCUUGCCAUCGGAUGUGCCCAGAUGGGAUUAGCUAGUAGGUGGGGUAACGGCUCACCUAGGCGACGAUCCCUAGCUGGUCUGAGAGGAUGACCAGCCACACUGGAACUGAGACACGGUCCAGACUCCUACGGGAGGCAGCAGUGGGGAAUAUUGCACAAUGGGCGCAAGCCUGAUGCAGCCAUGCCGCGUGUAUGAAGAAGGCCUUCGGGUUGUAAAGUACUUUCAGCGGGGAGGAAGGGA
rnacentral:rRNA from 1 species